rnacentral:rRNA from 1 species
UACGUAGGGGGCGAGCGUUGUCCGGAUUUAUUGAGCGUAAAGCGCGUGUAGGCGGUCUCUUAAGUCUGAUGUGAAAGCCCUGGGCUCAACCCAGGAAGUGCAUUGGAUACUGGGAGACCUGAAUACGGGGGAGGGUAGUGGAAUUCCUAGUGUAGGAGUGAAAUCCGUAGAUAUUAGGAGGAACACCGGUGGCGAAGGCGGCUACCUGGACCGAUAUUGACGCUGAGACGCGAAAGCGUGGGGAGCAAACAGG